rnacentral:sRNA from 1 species
UAGGGAAUCUCUCUGCUAAAAAGUUCCCUAGCUUCAAGGUUGACUUAUUUUUUCCUUUCUCCUUCGCUUUGAAACUUUGACUGUUUACAUGUAAUGUAGUUUCAUCAAUAUCAAUAAUUCAAUGUGAUAAAAUGUCCCGAUUUUGGUUACUUACAAGUACCAUACUAUAUACAUGAAAUUAUCAUUAUACUGUAAUUUUUUAGAAUGUUAGAGCUGUUUUUACAUGAAUAUAUUGUUAACCUAAAUUUUCAAGUUUAUACACCAAGUGUACAAUAGUGGUUUGUGUUAGAUUCUGAAAAAGUUUGGAUUGGAGAUACAUGUACCCGUAUUUUACGUUUCAAACAAAAGUUAAAAAUAUUAAUUGAAUAUUAAAAAAAAUGAAACAUAUUAAGACUGAAGUAUGUUGAAAUGUACUUUUUGUUUAUUUUGUAUUCAUACAAUACCAAUAGAAGAUUUGAUUAAGACAAUGAACAAAUAAAUUAUUUGAUGUUAAAUGUGAUAUGAAUAUAAGAUUUCAAUUUUAUCUACCUGUUUGAAAUGGAAAUAAAGAGUGGAUGCCAUAGUAUCAUUUGCGAGUCUAAAGGAGAGUCGGUAGUUGAAAAAUGAUCGAAAAUAGGCCUCACCCCCCUCCGCCGGAAAAAAGAAUUAUCCUUGGACCCCGCUGGCUCCCUUGGAAAAAUUUCUGGAUCCGCGCAUGAGUAUGUACACAGACAAUAAAUUAAAUACAUGUACUAGUAUACAAUAGAAACCAUGAGCUGGAUUUGAUGAAAAAAUAAACAAAAUACAAAUAC